rnacentral:rRNA from 1 species
UUAUGGCUCAGGAUGAACGCUGGCGGCGUGCUUAACACAUGCAAGUCGAACGGAGUUAAGGAGCUUGCUCUUAAACUUAGUGGCGGACGGGUGAGUAACGCGUGGGUAACCUGCCUUUCACUGGGGGAUAACAGUUAGAAAUGACUGCUAAUACCGCAUAAGCGCACAGUAAGGCAUCUUACAGUGUGAAAAAACUCCGGUGGUAUACGAUGGACCCGCGUCUGAUUAGCCAGUUGGCAGGGUAACGGCCUACCAAAGCGACGAUCAGUAGCCGGCCUGAGAGGGUGAACGGCCACAUUGGGACUGAGACACGGCCCAAACUCCUACGGGAGGCAGCAGUGGGGAAUAUUGCACAAUGGGGGAAACCCUGAUGCAAGCGACGCCGCGUGAGUGAAGAAGCAUUUCGGUGCGUAAAGCUCUAUCAGCAGGGAAGAAAAUGACGGUACCUGACUAAGAAGCCCCGGCUAACUACGUGCCAGCCGCCGC